CAAGUGGGCAUUCUUGCAGAGGACCCUGCUAGGAGGCAGCUUGUCUUUCCUCCGUCCAGCAGCUGGAACAGAGGAGUUUCACAUCACCUAGGUGAAUGGAAACGAAGUCCACAGCUCACCCACUAUACAUGACGUAACUGUUUCCGGUAGCAGAAACUCUGCGAAGCUUAGCUUGGGCAUUGCCAUGUUUGGGCUAACCAAGAAAAGUGGGCUUGCUCCAGGUAACACUUGAAAAACCAAAACCCCAUAAAUAGACUCACCGCUAAUAUGCGGAGCAAGCCAAAUCUGAGCUAAGAGGGACGCGUUCCAAGAAGGAUCCUAAAGAGUGAGCACUUGAUGCCUGAAGGUCACACUCCUUUUAAGGACUUAAAAAGGCUCAACAGAAAUCCUUCCUGGUUUCCCUGCCUUCUACCAGGGCAGAGGCCAGUGAAAAAUGCAUUCUUCGAUUAUUAAAGCUUAGUGACUCCA